ensembl:lncRNA
AAACAGAUUCUUCCCCUGAGCCCACAGCAACAGUCACAGAUUCUUCUCAGCAUUCCAUUGUAACAUACACCGACUCUUCACAACAACCCACUGCUAGAGUCACAGACUCUUCAGACACAGACUCUUCUCAGAAACCUGCUGCAACAACCACAGACUACUUCCAGCAGUCUUUUGCAACAGAGACAGACUCCUCCCAGCAGCACGCUGCAAAAGAGACAGACUCUUCCAAGACACACACUGUAACAGCCACAGACUCUCUCCAGCUGUCCAUUCCAACAGAGACUGACUUGUCCCAGCAGCUCACUGUAACAGAAAGUGAAUUUUCCCCAAAUCCCACCAAAACAGAGACAGACACUUCCAAACAUCCUAUUAAAACAGAAAAUGAAUCCCUUCAAGACAUCACUGCAACAAAAUCUGACUGUGUGAAUGCGAAAAAAGAUGAUAACUUAUCCGAAGCCUUUAGCAAACUAAUACCCAUUCUAGAGGCUAACAUUACUCAAAAAGACCAUAGCAUAUCUCAAAAUCCAGUCAUCACAGACUUAAAUUCCCCAGCUGAACAUUCCCAAUCUGAUACCGUUACACCUUGUAAUAGCCAAGUGGAACUAAACCAAACACAAGCAUGUAUAACUCGUACAGUAAAAGACACAGAUAAUGGUGCUUUAACUAGUCUUGAUUCAAUGGAGGUGAGCUCAACUCAGCCUCAAGGUUCACCAGAACCUUGCCUGUCCUCGGAUGAGAUCAACUCAACUCAGGGAAUAACACAAUUACAGUCUAACUUAUCAUCAAAUCCUAUGGAACCUAGCUAUCAAAAAGACUCAAAGCCUGAGAAAACAGAUGAGCACCAUAAAUCUGACACCAUUACAGAGCAAACUCAGAGUCAUGAUACUUCAGCUAUAGAUUCAGGGCCUCAGAUAGAAGUUUAUACCGCAAUAGACUCUAACGGGGUUGAUAAAAUUAAACCAACAGCACCAGAGGUAGAAAACACUGUGACUAAAAUUACAGAGGUGUCAGAAAAAACACAUUUGACUGUUCACAGUAAUUCAGAAAACCAGUCUUCUGUUGCAGAGAAUACAAAUUCGAAUGUGUCUGCCCAUCAGACAUCUACUGAAAAUGUUAUCUCUUGCAGCAACCUUAGAGAUGACACUAAAGUUC